rnacentral:rRNA from 1 species
UACGUAGGUGGCGAGCGUUGUCCGGAUUUACUGGGCGUAAAGAGCGCGCAGGCGUCGUGCAAGUCGCGUGUGAAAGCCCCCGGCUCAAUGGGGAGGGUCACGCGAUACUGCUCGACUUGAAGGCAGGAGAGGGAAGUGGAAUUCCCGGUGGUAGUGGUGAAAUGCGUAGAUAUCAGGAGGAAUACCGGUGGUGAAGGCGCUUUCUGGACUGCUGCUGACGCUGAUA